UUUCGGAGUGAAAAUGUCACCCAAACAGCGUGUCAGCAUCUUGUACCACGAGUUCCUCAUGAUGACAAAUUCUGGUCUUCAGCUGCCUUCCCUGAAGAAUUCCCAAUAUUUUAUCCUGAAGUGCUGCUUUUGCAGAAACUUUCUGGCCUGGUUUGUAUUUUCCUGUCAGGAUCCUUGCAUCCUCAAGGCAGAAAAUCACGUUGGAGACUCACAGCACACAUGAGGAAACUCAGGUAAAUUAAAUCAAGUGUUCAAAAUCAUGCAGGAUGCUGUCAUAAGGCAAGUCUUUUGGAUUUCUAAUUUUCACCCUUAUGCUCUGAGUUGGUGGAUUCUUAUUAAUCCCUUGAAAGCAUUUUAAGCAAACCUCCUCUUAUUUUUCUUAUUUCAAAAAUAUCUUUCAUUGAAUGUAGGGUUUUCUGGGAUCCUGCAAGGAUGUUCAUUGCAGGAACAUCUUCUGUACCAAGAUGACAAAAUAUACUCUUUCCUACUAACACCUAAGGUCAUUUGUACAUUUGUUCUGUCCCAGUUGAAACUAAAAUCCUUUUCCUCAUGCUACUCCUCUUUCCAGCAUCUGUCUUUCCUGGCUGCAAUCCUUCUGGAUUCUAAUUAGACUUCCAAUGGCUUGGCUCAGGGUGUAACCAUAACCAAUUUAUCAUUCCCUUAAUCUCCCUCCGGGACAUUCAUUGAAAGAACAGUACCUGAAUAUUUCCCCUUUAUCUACAAUUUCCAGUCUAUAUCAAACAUGAAAUCUUGACAGAUGGAGUCCAAUCUGUCACAGUGAGUUAGUGUAUUUUUCUUCUGAUUGAAUGUAUUUAUUGCACAAAGAAAGAUGGAAAAAAUUGUAAAGAUGAAUAUUUAAAAUUUGGGUUAUAGAACGGUUAGUUGGGCUGGGCAUUUUUAUUUUUUUGGUUGGUGAUUUUUAUAUGGUUUUUUUUUUUACAGCUGAGGAUCUGGACUGCGUUAGAUGAAGGAGGAAACGACAUGAGACUUGUUUUUGUUGUGAUAAGAGGAAGAACAGAUCCGAUCAUAACAAAAACAGAUGUAGAGCCGUAACGCAGUCCCUCGUGUUAUCUACUCCCCACU
rnacentral:lncRNA from 1 species